rnacentral:tRNA from 2 species
UGCAGAGUAGUGAAACGGUAUCACGCGGGGCUCAUAAUCCCGAAUAGCGGUUCGACUCCGCCUCUGCCCCCA